CAUUGUCUCAGCUCGUUCAGCAGAGAGGAGGGCUUGGCUGUGGCAACACGCUUCCUCUUCCCAGUGUGGGAGCUGAGGGAGCCUUUCUGCGACGGAUUCGGCACGGACUGACCCGGGUGACUUCACCCACCCGCCCGUGGGGUCCAUCCCGGCGUGGCACAGGAGAGCACAGAAAAACGCCGUGGCUUUGCUGUCACAUAAACCUGCACGUGGGAUUAUUAACUCCACUCCAAAUCGGGGUUACAGUGGCCAGACUGUUUGGCAGAGAGAAACUGGCUGGCGGGUUCCCGUCUCUGUGCCCUAAUCUUACCUACUCAAACCUAACUUUGCCAAGCAAGGGUUAUUUCACUGAGUGAUGGGAUCAUGUCAAGCUUAUUUCUGUAAGGCGAACGUGGCGUUGCCUUGUACAAUACAAACAGGGCAUGAAUUAGGAGAAUAUUAUUAUUAUUAGAAUUCUAUUUAUGCUAUUUUUCUAAUCUAAUAUCUUGUUUACAGGGGGAUUUUGAACAGUUCCAGCCCUCAACAAAAGCGAUUAGUAGAGGCACACCAAGGCCAUGCACGGGUUUAGACAAAUAAACCAUACUCAGUGUCAACAUCUUUUGUGAUAGGACUGAUGCAGACAGGAUCUGCUGGCAGCUAUGCCAUGGUUUGUAAGUCAUCUCCCAAGCUGAACGUGUCACCUCUGCCAGGUAACCACCUCCAGCACAGGGAAGUGUCAGCGUCAUGGCUUGGCUGCAUGUCAGGCUCAAUCUGACUGUUCAUGGCUCUCUCCCUUUACCAGCUGUUCCCUGGUGCCAGCAGUGAGCCAAGGAUUAGGUGGUAACAGUUUUGUAAACUGCCAUGGCAAGACUUGCCCCUCAGCUUCUGUAGUUCCAGUAAAGAAUAAGCUCUUCUGAUACAAAUUGCAGAUUUUGUUCUCCAACAGGGGUUUGGUUGUGCUAGGGCAGGUGAGGCUGGGCCAGAAGACUUUUGCAGACAGCUGCUCAGCUUUUCUAAAAAAGGAGGGCAGAGCUUGAUGCUGGAAAGGAGAGCUCCUGAAAUGCAGAGCCAAGCUAGUUCCCUGAGAAAUACUGCCCUUAAUUUCAGUGAGGUAUCACUGUUAAUAUGUUGGUAUAAUCUGUCAUCUGAUUUUGCAGUGUCACUGGUAAUAAAGUUUCAUAUUGCCUAUGUUAUCUGUUAAUUCAAAAGGAGCAAAGUUUGAGGACGCUGCUGAAGAGCCCAGACCUGCACACAGCUGCAUUUCAACAGCUGAAGUUCCAGCACUGUCCUGGCUUUAUAUUGAGGUUGUAGAAAUGUUCUGGAACAUGUGAUGUGUACACUAUGACUGGAAGGCUGGCUGCUUUGUGGUUCUGGCAAAAAACUGGGCUGACUCCUGUAAAAACAGUGCACUGACACCUUCAAAGGUACACAUAGAGGUGUUGCAUCUUGUCUCCAUCUCCUCUCAUUCCCUCUGCUCCUCUUUGACUCUUUCUUCUGCCUUCUCCCAAGCCACUGUCGUUUUCAUUUCCUUCCCUGCUGCCUUGGACAUUUGAUCUAGACUCACAAAUGUGUCAGAGUUCUUCUCCUUACACUUUUCAAAGCCUGUUUUUCCACCUUUGUUCUGUAGACACAGAUCUGAAACCAGUGUAACUUCCUGUUGCUGGAGCAUCAAAGAUAAACAAAUUCAAGAUACAGUAAAAAAAAUAAAUACUGUUCAGACUUGUUUACUUUGAAUGAAAACAAGAACAUUCAUAUCAUGAAGCUUGACUGAGUGGAACCAGGGUAAGAAUGCCCCAACCAUCAUGACAGUGGUGAUGAAACUGGAAGAUUUUUUACUGGAAGUCAGUGUUUAUUAAGGAGAGCACUAAAUUACUCAGCACAGGUAUUGUUAGAGCAGUCCUGACCAAUAACAUAUUUUUAGUACCAGUGACUCUUGUUGAACUCAUCUCUGUAAUUGUUUUUGAUGAUAGAAUGAAUCAGAGUGCUCUAAAAACAUGGCAAUAAAAUAAAGCCCUAAUUAUGGACCAAGGAACCAUUAAGUCUAAAUCCUAAAAAUUGGCAUUCAGUAUACAAGAUUAAGGAAGCAAAAACCAUGUUAGUUUGGUUACUCAUAUUUACAAAGUAAGGAAAACCAGAUCCUUCAAAUACCUUAAGUAGUUUUGAUUUUAAAUGUUCUUAAGACUAGAAAUAUGUCAUUGUGCACUCAGCCAGAAAUGCAUUUUAAUAAAUGAGUCAGGGUUACAAGAAGGAUGAAAGAACUUUUCUUACUGAAUGCAUCCCUGUUUUGGGGCCCAGUCAUGUAGUGUGCUUGGAAGGAGCAACAUGCUGAACAUGAACAGCCAAGGGUUGAUUAAUAAGACAUUUAACCUAUUAUUUUUUCAUGGGACAAAGAGACUUUAGUUCUGUAAGGUAUUUGUAAAAUGGGUUUUCAAAAUGAACCAGGCAAUCCCAGUCUGAUACCCAGCAGGCACCCAUUUGGUACCACAUAGGUGUUUGCAUAGCAAAUCUGUUACUCAUUACAAUUCUUGACACUCAGGAAUACAUGAGCUGUGUGGUUUGCCCUUAUUAUUUUUAGGUCAAAUUGUGCCCAUGUACAAUCUCCUGCCCACCCUUCACAAGCACUGUCUGCUUGUCUGGAGGUGGAGGAGUUUGAUGAGCAUUGAACUGUCACAUAAAGACAUACUGAAUUCUGAAAGAGACAUUGAAUAUCUGUAUAGGAUUAUGCAAAGAGGGACACAGAAACAGGGUCUGUAGUUUUCCCUGCAUUGCAAAAUUGUCCUGGGUUGUACAAAUCCAUCAAAUGAAUAGGCAGGCUCUGAAAACUUCCUUUUCCCCACCCAAGAUGAAAAAUGGAAUUGCCACUGGGAUGCCAGAGGUGAAUGAGAUUCUGUCAGGAGGUUAUAUUGAUAAAAGUAAACAUCCUGCACAAAAGCUGAGUUUCUUUUGGCUGCUUUGCACAGAUGAGUUCUUAUUGCAAGCCUGCACAAUAACCAGUCCCCUGAUUGGUUAAACAGAUAACAGAGCAGCAGUUCCUCAGUUGCCAACGUGGAUGUAUUAGUGACAAGACACGGCUCAUGCUCCCAGCUGCUCACUUUUUGGAGCUGGCAGUGUGAUGGGCUGGCUUCAGGGGCAGAGAGCAGGACACCAUGGCUCAGGGAGCCAGUUAAAUGCAGUGGGGAGGGAGCAGAGCAGCACAGCCUUAAUGGGGCACAGGAAAUGGGUUUGGCACGUGAAACUCCGAACCCACUCUCAAUCUAAACUGGAGAGUAAAUCAAGCAUGUGGGGUAAAUAAAGGGGAGAAAAGUACUCUUCUGCUUUCUUUUGACUUCAGAACAAACAGAAUAUGAGGAUUUAGCCUUCUUGUCUUAGGGAUGUGCAUGAUAAUGGAGGAAGGUGGUGGUUUGAGAAAGGUUUGAUUUAGAAGCUUUAGUGGUAAAGCUCUUUCCUGUUUUUGGAUUUAGGGAAUACAGGGUUUGGGCUUUGUUAGCAUGUUCAAGGACAUAUGGCAGCAGAACUACCCUGUGAAAAGUUUAUGCUUUGUGUCCUGCAGACAGCAUGGAUAUAGCUUUUUUUUUUUCCUUGCUGCAAACUGACCCAGAUUUCUGCUUUUAUUUGACAGUCUUUUUGAGCAUAGUGUGAAGGAGAGGCAUUGCUUCUGGAAAUGCAUGUCAAUAGUCUUGUGAAAUGAGCGUCUCUCCCUCCCUCAGCCUUCCCCCAAUCUAAUUAAUAAGGUCAUCCCACUGAAGGCAGGCUUAUAAAUAGCUUUCCAAGCACUAAUGGAAUUAGUUCUGGCCUGGACAACUUUUCCAGGGUGACACAGGUAUCGAAGAAAAGCUUGCUCCUUGACAUAGACAACCACUUACAGCAGGAAAUGCUGAAAUGUAAACAUUUACCUGAUGUCCCAGCUCUUGCUGCCAGCACUAAACCUGAAAUGGGAUUACAGCAUUGCUACUCACAUUGUAGAAAGACUUGCAAGUGAAACAAGGGAUUUUAGAGGGAUGGGCCUUGUAUUAGAUUACAUUAUUCUGGAUAAUGAAAUGUCAAAUUCUGCUGAAGGUUUCUCUUUUGUCACUAUUUCUGAGGAAAGUGUAUUUUUCAUGUCCCACAAACCCACAAGAUUUUGUGAGGAUAAUAAACAGUUACCAUGGGGAAUAAAAUCGAAGUACUUCCAGUCGAUAGGAAUCUUUACUGUGACAGCAUUUAAUGGGAAGGGAAUAGCACAGCUAUAAACUCUCAAAAGAGAGUCAUGAUUGAAAAUUGACUAUUUAAAUCAUCAGUGAGUGGAGCCACAGAACCCCUUCAAAACCAAUGGCUGAAUUAUUAACAUUUAAAAUCUGGUGUGAGACUGGAGUUUUAUAACGAAAAUAAAACCUAAAUGCAUCACAGAAAAUGUAAGCUCUGAUUGUUUAAAAAACUUGAACCAAGAUGUAAAGAGAAUGUAUCUGAUUCAGGAACUUCAAAUCAAUAAGCAUGAAGCUCCCAAAAACAUGUGACAAACAUGAAAUUAUAAUAUGAUUAUCUAUGUGACUAAUGAAAUUUAAUUACAGUUAAAUAAUGGAGAAACAUUA